UAGCUUGUGAUGGGAGGGUAUCCUUGCUGUGUCUGAUGAUGGGAACAGGAGGCUAUCAGGCGUUUUCUGGAAGGUCAUAGGAAGACAUUGAACGCUGGUCAGGGAAAGAUUGCCCGGGGAUUCAGCGUGGAGAGUCCUGGGCUUGUGAUGGGAGGGUAUCCUUGCUGUGUCUGAUGGUGGGAACAGGAGGCUAGCAGGCGUUUUCUGGACGGUCAUAGGAAGACAUUGAACGCUGGUCAGGGAAAGAUUGCCCGGGGAUACAGCGUGGAGAGUCCUAGGCUUGUGAUGGGAGGGUAUCCUUGCUGUGUCUGAUGGUGGGAACAGGAGGCGAGCAGGCGUUUUCUGGACGGUCAUAGGAAGACAUUGAACGCUGGUCAGGGAGUCAUUGCCGGGGGAUACAGCGUGGAGAGUCCUAGGCUUGUGAUGGGAGGGUAUCCUUGCUGUGUCUAUUGGUGGGAACAGGAGGCUAGCAGGCGUUUUCUGGAAGGUCAUAGGAAGACAUUGAACGCUGGUCAGGGAAUCAUUGCCGGGGGAUACAGCGUGGAGAGUCCUAGGCUUGUGAUGGGAGGGUAUCCUUGCUGUGUUUCAUGGUGGGAACAGGAGGCGAGCAGGCGUUUUCUGGAAGGUCAUAGGAAGACAUUGAACGCUGGUCAGGGUAAGAUUGCCCGGGGAUACAGCGUGGAGAGUCCUAGGCUUGUGAUGGGAGGGUAUCCUUGCUGUGUUUCAUGGUGGGAACAGGAGGCGAGCAGGCGUUUUCUGGACGGUCAUAGGAAGACAUUGAACGCUGGUCAGGGAAUCAUUGCCGGGGGAUACAGCGUGGAGAGUCCUAGGCUUGUGAUGGGAGGGUAUCCUUGCUGUGUUUCAUGGUGGGAACAGGAGGCGAGCAGGGGUUUUCUGGAAGGUCAUAGGAAGACAUUGAACGCUGGUCAGGGAAAGAUUGCCGGGGGAUACAGCGUGGAGGGUCCUGGGCUUGUGAUGGGAGGGUAUCCUUGCUGUGACAGAGGGACUAAUCGGCGUAUCCUGGCUAAGCAAUCCUAAGGUCACCGUCAUCGACAGAGACGUGAGGGACUUGGCAAAGGUCAGCGGGUGUGUUCUGGCUAAUGGGUAUCAAGGUCAGGGUCAGGAGGGACGGGCACGCUCGGGUCAUUCCCACACAGAAAGUUGUAAUGGUAGAUGGCGCGGCCUUUCCCAGGGUAUUCGAGUAGACCGUCGCUCCUAUUAUAUAAACAGCUGAUGGUUUUGGGCGCGGCCUUUCCUAGGGUACUCAAGCAGACCGGCCUUUCCCAGGGUACUCAUGCUUCAGGUCGGGGUCGAUUCUAUAUGCAGACAUAAGUAAAGGGAGUGGGCGCGGCCUUUCCCAGGGUACUCAAUCUUAUAUACAUAGGUACAGGUAUUGGGGGCGGCCUUUCCCAGGGUACUCAAGCAGGCCGGCCUUUCCCAGGGUACUCGUGCAAAAUCUCCGUAGGCAAACCGUCACUAAACUAUCCCCGCGAAGCGCUGACUAUCCCUCGACUAUCCCCCAAGCCACAAAACCAACACACGAACACACACACAUAAAGCCUGCCACGAGUACUAUCAUAACUAUCAGCGCACAGAUAGUCGCGGAAUAGUCACAGAAGCGAAGCCAGAUCACACAGACAGACUAUCCGUGGACUAUCCUAGACUAUCCUUUCCGCGCCAAAGCAACACAGAGGAAGCGGAUAGUACCGAGCGAGGCACUAUUGUGGGUACUAUUUUCGGUACUAUUCUGACUAUUCUUAAGUAAGGGAAGCUGCCACACGGAGAAAGCCUGGCUAGUGACUAUUUAGGCGAAUGGUCGACUAUUUUCAGACUAGCGACAUGGAGCGAACGGAACAGACGAACGAAAAAUAGGAAAAUUAAUAGGAAAAAAAUAGGAAAAUAGUAUUGAUAGUACAAACAUAAUAGUAGGAAAUAGUUCAAAAAAUAGUUAAGUUAUCGUUCGAAAAUAUUAAAAAAAAAAUGUGUGUGAAAAAUGUCGAAAAAUGUCAAAAAAUGUCGAAAAA